UACGGGAGGCAGCAGUGAGGAAUUUUCUGCAAUGGGCGCAAGCCUGACAGAGCAAUACCGCGUGAGGGAUGAAGGCCUAUGGGUUGUAAACUUCUUUUCUCAAGGAGGAAGAUCUGACGUUACUUGAGGAAUAAGCAUCGGCUAACCCUGUGCCAGCAGCCGCGGUAAUAC
rnacentral:rRNA from 1 species